rnacentral:rRNA from 1 species
UGCAAGUCGAGCGGUAGAGAGGUGCUUGCUUCUCUUGAGAGCGGCGGACGGGUGAGUAAAGCCUAGGAAUCUGCCUGGUAGUGGGGGAUAACGCUCGGAAACGGACGCUAAUACCGCAUACGUCCUACGGGAGAAAGCAGGGGACCUUCGGGCCUUGCGCUAUCAGAUGAGCCUAGGUCGGAUUAGCUAGUUGGUGAGGUAAUGGCUCACCAAGGCGACGAUCCGUAACUGGUCUGAGAGGAUGAUCAGUCACACUGGAACUGAGACACGGUCCAGACUCCUACGGGAGGCAGCAGUGGGGAAUAUUGGACAAUGGGCGAAAGCCUGAUCCAGCCAUGCCGCGUGUGUGAAGAAGGUCUUCGGAUUGUAAAGCACUUUAAGUUGGGAGGAAGGGCAUUAACCUAAUACGUUGGUGUUUUGACGUUACCGACAGAAUAAGCACCGGCUAACUCUGUGCCAGCAGCCGCGGUAAUACAGAGGGUGCAAGCGUUAAUCGGAAUUACUGGGCGUAAAGCGCGCGUAGGUGGUUCGUUAAGUUGGAUGUGAAAUCCCCGGGCUCAACCUGGGAACUGCAUUCAAAACUGUCGAGCUAGAGUAUGGUAGAGGGUGGUGGAAUUUCCUGUGUAGCGGUGAAAUGCGUAGAUAUAGGAAGGAACACCAGUGGCGAAGGCGACCACCUGGACUGAUACUGACACUGAGGUGCGAAAGCGU